rnacentral:rRNA from 1 species
UACGUAGGGUGCAAGCGUUAAUCGGAAUUACUGGGCGUAAAGCAUGCGCAAGCGGUUUUGUAAAUCAGAUGUGAAAUCCCCGGGCUUAACCUGGGAACUGCAUUUGAAACUACAAAGCUAGAGUGUGGCAAAAGGGGAUGGAAUUCCACGUGUAGCAGUGAAAUGCGUAGAGAUGUAAAGGAACACCGAUGGCGAAGGCAACCCCCUGGGUUAACACUGACGCUCAGGCACGAAAGCGUGGGGAGCAAACAGG